rnacentral:tRNA from 1 species
GCAGUGGAGGUUCAGUGAUAGAAUUCUCACCUUCCGUGCAGUAGAUCUGGGUUUGAGUCCCAGCCAGUGCA